GGUGGUUCUCGGGUGACACACCCCAGAAUCAGGCUCCUUCCUCUCUGGUUCUUGGUGCAUCACCUGAGAAUUGCA
rfam:Myotis lucifugus cont2.23195, whole genome shotgun sequence.